AUUGAACGCUGGCGGCAGGCCUAACACAUGCAAGUCGAACGGUAACAGGAAGAAUCUUGCUUCUUUGCUGACGAGUGGCGGACGGGUGAGUAAUGUCUGGGAAACUGCCUGAUGGAGGGGGAUAACUACUGGAAACGGUAGCUAAUACCGCAUAACGUCUCAAGACCAAAGAGGGGGACCUUCUGGCCUCUUUCCAUCGGAUGUGCCCAGAUGGGAUUAGCUAGUAGGUGGGGUAACGGCUCACCUAGGCGACGAUCCCUAGCUGGUCUGAGAGGAUGACCAGACACACUGGAACUGAGACACGGUCCAGACUCCUACGGGAGGCAGCAGUGGGGAAUAUUGCACAAUGGGCGCAAGCAUGAUGCAGAAAUGCCGCGUGUAUGAAGAAGGCCUUCGGGUUGUAAAGUACUUUCAGCGGGGAGGAAGGGAGUAAAGUUAAUACCUUGGCUCAUUGACGUUACCCGCAGAAGAAGCACCGGCUAACUCCGUG
rnacentral:rRNA from 1 species